rnacentral:rRNA from 1 species
ACGCUCGACACCUACGGGAGACAGCAGUGGGGAAUAUUGCACAAUGGGGGAAACCCUGAUGCAGCGACGCCGCGUGAAGGAAGAAGUAUCUCGGUAUGUAAACUUCUAUCAGCAGGGAAGAAAGUGACGGUACCUGACUAAGAAGCCCCGGCUAACUACGUGCCAGCAGCCGCGGUAAUCUGGAGCGGGCUGGACAAGGC